GAUGAACGCUGGCGGCGUGCCUAAUACAUGCAAGUCGAGCGAACGGACGAGAAGCUUGCUUUUUUGAUGUUAGCGGCGGACGGGUGAGUAACACGUGGGUAACCUACCUAUAAGACUGGGAUAACUUCGGGAAACCGGAGCUAAUACCGGAUAAUAUUUUGAACCGCAUGGUUCAAAAGUGAAAGACGGUCUUGCUGUCACUUAUAGAUUGAUCCGCGCUGCAUUAGAUAGUUGGUAAGCUAACGGCUUACCAAGGCAGCGAUGCAUAGCCGACCUGAGAGGGUGAUCGGCGACCCGAGAGCGGAGACGCGGACAAGGCGACUGAGAGAGGGACCAGUCGGGAACGUGAGGCAGUGGGGGAAAACAUGACGCAGCGGCGGCGAGUCAGAGGCAGCGAUGUCCGGAGCGUAAAAAUCUGUUAUGAGGGAAAAACAUAUGUGUAUGGAACUGAACCGCUAGUGACGGUACCUGAUCAGGAAGCAACGGCUAACUACGUG
rnacentral:rRNA from 1 species